GAUUGACAAGUGUAAUUGGGGAUGUGCAAUCGAAAAUUAUCGCAGUCAAUCGACAAGGGUAUAAAAGACUCCCAGUCAUCCUUGCUGCAUCACAAGAUUUCACAACAUCCUUGAAGUCAGCAACAUCACCACCCCUGUUAGAAUCAAGAUGCUGAGAAUAACCUGUGUUGUUUUCGUCCUGGCCGUUGUUGCCAUGGUAUCCUCAAGCAAAGAAUCUCUCACCAAGGCUGUAAUUGGCGCCAGGAAAGCUGCUGGAAACUCUGCACUUUCCGAAGGAGGUUCAGGCCUUUACCUUGACGCCAACGGUUACGCUGAGUCAUGCGACGCUGGUGUCGUUAAAGAACUCGGUGGUGUUUCAUCCAGUUCAGAUGGGGAUUCUGGUGAUGAUGCUUUUGCAUCCCAACUGGGUGGCGAAGCCGGACCAUCUAGCGCUUCUUCUAUCGCCUGUGACACACAGCAAUGCCCUGAUGGCUCCUUUCUUGCUGCCUGUGCCUUUGAGUAGAAGAAAGCAGAACGGAAGGAGACGGGGUUGGACGCUGAGAUAUUCCGUCGUUUUAUAACGAGUUGUGUAGAUAAAUAAAAGAUCAUAAAUGAUAAA
rnacentral:misc_RNA from 1 species